rnacentral:rRNA from 1 species
GACGAACGCUGGCGGCGUGCUUAACACAUGCAAGUCGAACGGAAAGGCCCUGCUUUUGUGGGGUGCUCGAGUGGCGAACGGGUGAGUAACACGUGAGUAACCUGCCCUUGACUUUGGUAUAACUUCAGGAAACUGGGGCUAAUACCGGAUAGGAGCUCCUGCUGCAUGGUGGGGGUUGGAAAGUUUCGGCGGUUGGGGAUGGACUCGCGGCUUAUCAGCUUGUUGGUGGGGUAGUGGCUUACCAAGGCUUUGACGGGUAGCCGGCCUGAGAGGGUGACCGGCCACAUUGGGACUGAGAUACGGCCCAGACUCCUACGGGAGGCAGCAGUGGGGAAUAUUGCACAAUGGGCGGAAGCCUGAUGCAGCAACGCCGCAUGCGGGAUGACGGCCUUCGGGUUGUAAACCGCUUUCGCCUGUGACGAAGCGUGAGUGACGGUAAUGGGUAAAGAAGCACCGGCUAACUACGUG